CCUACGGGUGGCAGCAGUGAGGAAUAUUGGUCAAUGGACGCGAGCCUGAACCAGCCAAGUAGCGUGCAGGAUGACUGCCCUACGGGUUGUAAACUUCUUUUAUAAAGGAAUAAAGUGAGGCACGUGUGCCUUUUUGUAUGUACUUUAUGAAUAAGGAUCGGCUAACUCCGUGCCAGCAGCCGCGGUAAUACGGAGGAUCCAAGCGUUAUCCGGAUUUAUUGGGUUUAAAGGGAGCGUAGAUGGGUUGGUAAGUCAGUUGUGAAAGUUUGCGGCUCAACCGUAAAAUUGCAAUUGAUACUGGCAGCCUUGAGUACAGUUGAGGUAGGCGGAAUUGGUGGUGUAGCGGUGAAAUGCUGAGAGAUCACGCAGAACUCCGAUUGCGAAGGCAGCUUACUAAACUGCCACUGACAUUGAUGCUCGAAAGUGUGGGGAUCAAACAGGAUUAGAUACCCGGGUAGUC
rnacentral:rRNA from 1 species